rnacentral:rRNA from 1 species
UACGAAGGGGGCUAGCGUUGCUCGGAAUCACUGGGCGUAAAGGGUGCGUAGGCGGGUCUUUUAAGUCAGGGGUGAAAUCCUGGAGCUCAACUCCAGAACUGCCUUUGAUACUGAGGAGCUUGAGUCCGGGAGAGGUGAGUGGAACUGCGAGUGUAGAGGUGAAAUUCGUAGAUAUUCGCAAGAACACCAGUGGCGAAGGCGGCUCACUGGCCCGGUACUGACGCUGAGGUGCGAAAGCGUGGGGAGCAAACAGGAUUAGAAACCC